rnacentral:lncRNA from 1 species
GCUGACAUGAACAUCAGUGAAGUCCUGGCAGUCAUGAACACCCUCCUCUCUGUUGCUGCUCGAGAGGUAUCUCAUGGCUUCCUCUCUCUCUUCUUUGCCUUGUGCUUUUAGGAACACAUGAUAUGGUAGUCGCUAUGCCUGUCCUUUAGCCCUUAUCUACAGUAUGACUUGAUGAUUACACAUGAACACAGAGGUUUCCCAGCUAACCCCUAUGAACAAGUAAGGGGACCUUUCCUUUCCUGUCCCCUGGUAGUCAGCAAGGAGUAAAAGCACAGAUGUGCUUAUUAAGACUUCUGUGAGGGGCUGGGGAUGUGGCUCAAGCGGUAGCGUGCUUGCCUAGCAUGUGUGUGGCUCAGGUUCAGUCCUCAGCACCACAUACAACAAAGAUGUUGUGUCCGCCGAAAACUAAAAAUAAAUAAAUAAAUAUUAAAAUUCUCUCUCUCUUAAAAAAAAAAAAAAAAAAGAAGGGCAAAAUUCAUUGAUGAGUUUAUUUAAAAAAAAAAAAAAAGACUUCUGUGAAAAAAGAGGAAUGGAUUUGUAAUCAAGGACCCUGAUACUAUCAGUGGUCAGCCCAACACGUAGUUAUAUAUUUGUGAUGUGAAUUUUGUGGAAAACUGUUUUGACAUUUAAAAAAAAACUGAUUACUUAGUAAAUUUGAAGACUAAUCAAAUCUGAAAAUGUAGUCUCUUUUUCCCAUAUUAAUGAUAUUUUUUAAACUUUGUACUUCUUUUUUUCAUAUGAAAGGUUUUGCUUCUCAAAAUGUAGUUCAUGCUCUUAAUGAUGGGAAGCACCAGGAAUAGUGAAAAAAAUAAUAAUUUCCAGGUCCUACCCCAAGCUACUGAUUUGGAAUGUCUAAAGAUAGGUUUAAGAAUGUGCAUUUUUACCAAGCACUCCCAAGAGAUUUGGAAAAGAGAGAAAUGCUUUCCUAGGAGCCAAGAACUACCUCAUAGGGCUAAAUAUAGGAACCAGAGAGAAGAGGUGUUAUGGUAGGACAGUCCACACCAUACCCUUGAGAUAUUUAAUGAUAUGGAUGUCAAGGCAACUUAUCUGUUUCUUGUAACUGAACUUAGUGUCUUUAAAUCUUUUAUAUUUUUGAUAGUGCUUUACUGUUCUCAAGUUGCUGUUAGAGCCAUGAUUUUAUUCAUUCCUCACAGGCUGGAGCAAUAGGCCAGUGAAUAGUUAUCUCCCUCCCACCACCACCAGUUCACUUAUGGUGUCCUUAGAGAGCUUAUAAUCUGACUAGAUUAUCUGCCACAGUCACACUGAUGCUGACUGUUAUUUAGGCCUAUUAUUGCUUUAAAUCCAGGGUUGGGAUUUCACUAUGGUGCCUAUUUUCUUUAAGCUAACAUUAAUUCUUUAUACCUGAUUGGUUCUCUGUUUUCCACUGUCACAUUAAUUUUCUCUUAUUUUCAUUGUGCUUUCUGUCUUAUUUCCAGACUCUUCUGCCUACCUCUUGUUUUCCUUCAAAUUCUCUUUCCAGCCUAUUGCUCAUCCUUACUUGUUCUCUGCUCUGAUUUGCCAUUCUCAUCUCUAUCUUUAUUUUUACCAUUUCCCACACCUUCUCUUUCUCUUGGAAGCUCACCUAAAUUAUACCUGUUACACAAACCCUUGAAACUUUAUCUUAGCUCUUACCCUAACCAGUUCUUCCACUAAAGUCAUAUCAUCAGUUCCAUUGGGCAAAAAACCUCAGGGUUCCCACCUGGUAUUCAUAGAUGCUGCUGAAACUUAGGCCAUUGGACUCUAAGUCUUAUCCUCUUUCCACUAAGCCACACUUGCUUUAAGAUAUAUGUGGGGAAGCAAGGUGGCAUUUGUCCAAGAGAAUUUCCUCUAACUAUUACCAUAUGGAGAUCAAAUACUUGUCCUUUUUUCUCCUCCACUCAUCUGUGAUACAGAGGUUACAGAUAUUAUUGGACCUCAUAGGCCAGAGAUCACUGUAGCCAUUAACAGAAUUCCUUGAAUUAUCAUUCAUGGAGGCAUUUAUGGUUAUGUUAAAGAGGUAGAAUUAGUUUAGAGGAAAAAUGUAAAGGUGAUCCAAAGUAUACCUAGCAUGAAAUUUUUCUGCUAAGUCUGUUAACUCAACGGUAUCGCUGAAUACCUGCUAUGUAUGAGACCCUGUUCUAGGCACAGCAGAUACAGUGAUGGCAGAGCCCAGUCUUGAGAUCAGACAAAUGUGUGAUUAGACAAUUCUGACCACAUGGCAAGAACUGUCAGAAGGUGGGUAUGGGGUCCUUGGGGGAGUCAGGGAUUCAUACCUCACCAUGUCUGGUAGAGCUGAGAAAAGGCAUUUUCGAGAAGAUGGUGCUAAAGCUCUGCACAAGACCAUGAAUAAGGCUUAAGCAAGCAAAGAAGAACAGAAUGGCACUGUAGAUGGAGGGACUGGCACACACAGAAGCUUGUGACAAGGUGGGGAGGAGCAGGUGUUCAAAGAGCAGGAGUGAUAAUGGGUGGACGCUAAGCAUGCUUAGUUCAUAGUUCUGCCAGUGUUCAGAUGUUGAUACUGGUUGCACUCAGGGUAGUAGUCAGUGCUGGAGAUUGUAAUCAGUAAAAAACAAAUGAUAGUUGAAGUCUUAAAUAGAGAUAGUAUCAUGUCAUCCAUGUGUUUCUUGAGGCAAUCUUACAGAGAAGGGGUAGAGUCUCAGGAAGAAAUUCAGGAGAAACAGAAGCUUGGGGAGGAGACAGAGCUUCAUAGGGGAUAGAGGUCAAAGAGUCUCUGAGGUUCAGUGGGAAGGAUUUGCUCGCGAGGUGGUAAAUGGUGUCUGAGGGGAGUGGUAUCCACAGAAGCAGCAGAGUGGGAGGGAAGGGGAAAGCAAAGCCUCAGAAGAUAGAGGCAACUUCUAAAAAUGAGGUAGAUAUAUAUGAGUAUAUAUGACAAGGUGCCGUGGCCCACACCUAUAAUCCCAGCUAUGUGGAGGCUGAGGUAGGAGGAUCACAAGUUCAAGGCAAGCCUUAGCUUAACAAGACCCUUUCUCAUAAUAAGAAAUAAAGAUGAGUUAGGGUGAAGCUCAGUGAUAGAGCACCCCUGGGUUCAAUCUCCAGGACCCUCACAUGCACAUACACACACUCAUGAAAGAGUGUGUGUGUGUGUGUGUACAGAUGGCUUACAGAAACAACUCUCAUUUAAGUAUUAGAACAUUACUAGUAUCUUUGAAAUCCCGUCCCCCCAUCCCCAUGUCUUUUCAUGGCUCACCUUCCACUUUCCUCAACAGCUACAGCCACCAUUCUGAAGUUUGUGUUCAUCAUUCCUUAUUUUUCUUUUUCUUUGUAGUUAUCCAUACCCAAUGUGUUUAUUUUUCCUGAUUUUGUCCUUUAACAGAAUCAUAUGUGUACAAUCUUUUUGUGGCAUGUUUUGAGAUUCAUUCAUGUUGAUAUAUGUGUUGUCAUAUACUUUCCCUGGUGUGCAGUAUUCCCUCCAUAAACAUGUCACACUUUUUUUUAUCCAUUUUUACUUUGGAGGGAUUGUUGGGUUAGUUCCAGCUUGAGCCCGUGACAGUGCCAAUACAAGCAUACCUCAUGAUAUUUAUGUGUAAGAGUUUAUCUCUAAAGGUCGGGUGAUACUUCAAAGAAACUCCCAAUAACAAAGAUGGUGGUUAGAGAGCCAUGGAAAGAUGAAGAUUUAUUUUAAGGUGAGAAAAAUUUAACUGAAAGCUCACGAGAAGGAGCCAAAGAGAAAAGAAAUUUCAAGAUGUAAAACAGGGAAGAAAUAAGCAGUGGGGUGGGUUCCUGAGCUGUGGAAGGAAAUAUCCCGUGGAGCAGAAAACAUUGCUGUAAAGUUUCUGAAAAUUGCAGGGCAAGAGAGGAGUUUUCAUAAUGCCAUCUUUCUUGUUCACUUCUGGGUUGAAAACUCUUCUGAGACUAUUCCCCAUACAGGUAGUAUUUUUUUUUUUUUUUUUUUGCUAGUAAUAGCUGCUCCCAUAGAGGGCCCUUGGCUGUAUUCUUUGAGUAGCCUGCUUGGGACAUUUUGUAUUUGUCUGCUUCCUUGUAGUGUGAGCUGUUGAUGCUCAGUGGGACCCAAGGGGAGGCUGGCUCUGUGCUCCUCUCCCUCUUCUGGUCUGUCCAAGGCAGCCUGCUCUCCUGGUGCUAUCUGCAGCUAAAGGCAACUGACACAGCAGCCAAAGGCCUGGCCGUGGACCUUAUCGAAAAAUGUGAGUGUUGAUAUUAAAUACACAAGAGCAGGUGUCUGGAUUUAACUCUGCACAAAAACUUUCUCUUUUGUAACUCACACAGAGAUGUACACUGGUUCUUUUUUUUUUUUUUUUUACUAGGUUCUUUAUUAGAGUUCAGAUCUAUGCUGGGUGCAGUGAUGCACACCUAUAAUCCCAGCUACUUGGGAAGCUAAGCCAGGAGAAUUACAAGUUUGAAGCCAGCUUCAGAAAUUUGGCAAGACCCUCAGCACCUUAGUGAGACCCUGUCUCAAGAUUAGAAAUAAAAGGGGCUGGGGAUGUUGCUCGGUGGUAGAACUCUACUGGAUUCAAUCCCCAGUGCCACAAGAACAAAAAACACAAAAUAAAACCAAAAAACUGAAUAGGGUAACUUUUGCCCUCUUAAAAUAGAAUUCUAUAGUAUGUCUUUUUGCUCAGAAUUUCCUAUUUGAAUGUGGUAUAUGUCUUAGUAUUUUUUUUUGAGGAAUUGGGUCAUUCCAUAACCUGACAUUCUCUCUUCAGUCACACAGCACUCUUAGAUGAUGUCUCACUUGUCAGGAUAGUCUGUCAUCCAUGGCUUAAUCAAGUCAUCUAAAAAAGAGUUUUGAGCUUUUAGCAUCCAAGGUGUAUGAAUACUGCUGUGACCUCUGCCAGUCCUGAAGUAUUCAAAUUCAUGUCCUGUAAACCCACAGAAAAUUAUAUGAAACUAACAAGUUCUGAGAAAUUGGGUGGGAAAAAUUUGGUUUCAUCAAACUUGCCCUGAGCAGCCAUGGCAUAAAUGCUUAGGGUACUGAGUCCUAUAAUUGGAACCUGUUCCUUCAGAUUGGUGCCCCUAAUGCCUGGGCCCAUUGUAUACUAAAGGAAAAAAGGAUGCUGAGAGCUGGGCCCACUGACAAUGUAACUUCACUUAUAAAAGUGAUAUCUCCA